AUAAGCGCUGAAAGCAUCUAAGCACGAAGCUCGCCUCAAGAUGAAAUUUCUUUUAAGGGUCGUCAUAGACGAUGACGUUGAUAGGCUGCAGGUGUAAAGACAGUAAUGUCAAAGCCGAGCAGUACUAAUUACCCGUACGUUUUCUUUAU
rnacentral:ncRNA from 1 species